UGGUGGGCCUGAAGAGGCAUUUCUGCAUGAGAUUUGCAAGGCAGAAGUAAAGCCACAGCCAUUUUGAUUUUGAUGCUUACGAAGUAGAAGCAGGCACGGAUGUGGUUCACACACAUCAUUGUUUAUCUGUUGGCUCACCUCAUUGGCCUGCAACUGCUCCACCUUCCCCUGGCUUCUCCUUCAGCUUCUCCAAACUUGGAUCCAGGAAAACAAAAAUGGAGAGAUUUUUCGCCAGCAUACCUGCACUUAAAAAUGAAAAGUAAUCCCUAAUGGGUGCACAAAGAUGCAGGAAAAAAUGAAGUGCACUAGAAAGGUCCUGCCACCCAGCCCUCCUCUCUGCAUCCACGGAAGAUGUCCACUCAUCUAACUUCUUUUAAAACAACCCCAAAAAAGCAAUGAUGAGGAAUUCACUACCAAGUGGAACAGACUGCACCAGACUGCACUGCAGAAUUCUCCACCACUUCAGCCAAACAACCAUGGUUGAACGGCUGAAAGAUAGCAGUCCUCUCAGAGGUGACCACGCCCAAACAGCUCAAUCUGCCUCUGGGUUCCUGUAACUGCUCCCUCCCAGGGUCCCGGCAGCUCUUGGCAUGGAAACAGAGACUACUGAUACACGUGCUGGGUACCUCCUACACAGCAGCCGACACCUUGGUAAGUAGAGCCUGUGAAAUAUUACGGGAUAUAUAUAUUUAGUCUUUGCCCCUGAUUCCUGACCCGA